GUGAUUUUCAAUGUUUUAUGCCAUGGUGUAAUUCCCAGAGAUGUAACCGUUCCCCUUUAACCCCUUAAGGACACAUGACAUGUGUGAAAUGUCAUGAUUCCCUUUUAUUCCAGAAGUUUGGUCCUUAAGGGGUUAAAGGGACACUAAAGUCACCCAUACCACUUCAUCUCAAUGUAUGGGUAUGAGUGCAGUGGCCCUGUCCACUUAACAUGUUUACAUUGCAGGGUUACAGGUGCUUCU